rnacentral:rRNA from 1 species
GUUAGCGGCGGACGGGUGAGUAACACGUGGAUAACCUACCUAUAAGACUGGGAUAACUUCGGGAAACCGGAGCUAAUACCGGAUAACAUGUUGAACCGCAUGGUUCAACAGUGAAAGACGGUCUUGCUGUCACUUAUAGAUGGAUCCGCGCCGCAUUAGCUAGUUGGUAAGGUAACGGCUUACCAAGGCAACGAUGCGUAGCCGACCUGAGAGGGUGAUCGGCCACACUGGAACUGAGACACGGUCCAGACUCCUACGGGAGGCAGCAGUAGGGAAUCUUCCGCAAUGGGCGAAAGCCUGACGGAGCAACGCCGCGUGAGUGAAGAAGGUCUUCGGAUCGUAAAACUCUGUUAUUAGGGAAGAACAAAUGUGUAAGUAACUAUGCACGUCUUGACGGUACCUAAUCAGAAAGCCACGGCUAACUACGUGCCAGCAGCCGCGGUAAUACGUAGGUGGCAAGCGUUAUCCGGAAUUAUUGGGCGUAAAGCGCGCGUAGGCGGUUUUUUAAGUCUGAUGUGAAAGCCCACGGCUCAACCGUGGAGGGUCAUUGGAAACUGGAAAACUUGAGUGCAGAAGAGGAAAGUGGAAUUCCAUGUGUAGCGGUGAAAUGCGCAGAGAUAUGGAGGAACACCAGUGGCGAAGGCGACUUUCUGGUCUGUAACUGACGCUGAUGUGCGAAAGCGUGGGGAUCAAACAGGAUUAGAUACCCUGGUAGUCCACGCCGUAAACGAUGAGUGCUAAGUGUUAGGGGGUUUCCGCCCCUUAGUGCUGCAGCUAACGCAUUAAGCACUCCGCCUGGGGAGUACGACCGCAAGGUUGAAACUCAAAGGAAUUGACGGGGACCCGCACAAGCGGUGGAGCAUGUGGUUUAAUUCGAAGCAACGCGAAGAACCUUACCAAAUCUUGACAUCCUCUGACCCCUCUAGAGAUAGAGUUUUCCCCUUCGGGGGACAGAGUGACAGGUGGUGCAUGGUUGUCGUCAGCUCGUGUCGUGAGAUGUUGGGUUAAGUCCCGCAACGAGCGCAACCCUUAAGCUUAGUUGCCAUCAUUAAGUUGGGCACUCUAAGUUGACUGCCGGUGACAAACCGGAGGAAGGUGGGGAUGACGUCAAAUCAUCAUGCCCCUUAUGAUUUGGGCUACACACGUGCUACAAUGGACAAUACAAAGGGUAGCGAAACCGCGAGGUCAAGCAAAUCCCAUAAAGUUGUUCUCAGUUCGGAUUGUAGUCUGCAACUCGACUACAUGAAGCUGGAAUCGCUAGUAAUCGUAGAUCAGCAUGCUACGGUGAAUACGUUCCCGGGUCUUGUACACACCGCCCGUCACACCACGAGAGUUUGUAACACCCGAAGCCGGUGGAGUAACCUUUUGGAGCUAGCCGUCGAAGGUGGGACAAAUGAUUGGGGUGAAGUCGUAACAAGGUAGCCGUAUCGGAAGGUGCGGCUG